rnacentral:rRNA from 1 species
GAUGAACGCUGGCGGCGUGCCUAAUACAUGCAAGUCGAGCGAACGGACGAGAAGCUUGCUUCUCUGAUGUUAGCGGCGGACGGGUGAGUAACACGUGGAUAACCUACCUAUAAGACUGGGAUAACUUCGGGAAACCGGAGCUAAUACCGGAUAAUAUUUUGAACCGCAUGGUUCAAAAGUAAAAGACGGUCUUGCUGUCACUUAUAGAUGGAUCCGCGCUGCAUUAGCUAGUUGGUAAGGUAACGGCUUACCAAGGCAACGAUGCAUAGCCGACCUGAGAGGGUGAUCGGCCACACUGGAACUGAGACACGGUCCAGACUACUACGGGAGGCAGCAGUAGGGAAUCUUCCGCAAUGGGCGAAAGCCUGACGGAGCAACGCCGCGUGAGUGAUGAAGGUCUUCGGAUCGUAAAACUCUGUUAUUAGGGAAGAACAUAUGUGUAAGUAACUGCGCACAUCUUGACGGUACCUAAUCAGAAAGCCACGGCUAACUACGUG